AGUGAACGCUGGCGGUAGGCCUAACACAUGCAAGUCGAACGGCAGCACAGGAGAGCUUGCUCUCUGGGUGGCGAGUGGCGGACGGGUGAGGAAUACAUCGGAAUCUACUUUUUCGUGGGGGAUAACGUAGGGAAACUUACGCUAAUACCGCAUACGACCUACGGGUGAAAGUAGGGGACCUUCGGGCCUUGCGCGAUUGAAUGAGCCGAUGUCGGAUUAGCUAGUUGGCGGGGUAAAGGCCCACCAAGGCGACGAUCCGUAGCUGGUCUGAGAGGAUGAUCAGCCACACUGGAACUGAGACACGGUCCAGACUCCUACGGGAGGCAGCAGUGGGGAAUAUUGGACAAUGGGCGCAAGCCUGAUCCAGCCAUACCGCGUGGGUGAAGAAGGCCUUCGGGUUGUAAAGCCCUUUUGUUGGAAGGAAAUCCAGCUGGCUAAUACCCGGUUGGGAUGACGGUACCCUAAGAAUAAGCACCGGCUAACUUCGUGCCAGCCGCCGCCGUAA
rnacentral:rRNA from 1 species